rnacentral:lncRNA from 1 species
UCAAAUUGGAAGUAAGGAACUCACACCCAACUUGUUAAGCAAAUUGCAAUAUUUCAAUCCUGCAAGAGCUUGGUAAAUAUGGUAGCCAGCUUCUCAUUGGUGGAGAUAUGAUAUAGCGUGAUGGGUCCUUCAUGUACUUGAUCUAUGACAAAGUGGCAAUCCAAUUCUAUGUGCUUCAUGCGCUCAUGGAACACAAGGUUUCUAGCCAUGUGCAGUGCUGCCUGGCUAUCACAGAAGACUGGUACAGGAAGUUGUAGAGGAACUGUUAACUCUUCCAGUAAUCUCAGUAGCCAUAUUAGUUCUCCCACCACUUGUCUAACAGCUCUAUAUUCUGCUUUUGCUGAGGAUAAUGAUACAGUGUAUUGUUUCUUUGACUUCCAACUGAUAGGCCCAUCACCUAGUAGGACAAGAUACCCACUGACUUAUUUCCUUGAGUCAGGGCAGGCAGCCCAAUCUGAAUGACAAAAAGCUCUAACUGUAUAGUCUUCAUUCUUGGACAAAAAAAUACCUAGAUUUGGAUAACCUUUAAGGUAUCUCAACACAUGGUAUUCAGCCUUCAAAUGAAGCUCCCUAGGCUUCUGCAUAUAUUGACUUAAAUGUUGCACACUGUAAGAUAUGUCAGGUCUUGUAUUAGUUAGAUAAUUCAGCUUACGUACUAGCUUCUUGUAAUGUGAGGGAUCAGGUAACAGUAAUCCCUCAUCUGCACUUAGCUUGACUGUGGAGUCUAGUGGAGAAGUCAAAGCUGAAUAUUGCAUACAGUUGAAUUCAGACAGCAAGUCCAUUGUGAACUUCCUUUGUGAUAUCAAUACUACAUCCCCUUUACAUAGAAUUUCUAGGCCUAUGAAGUAAUGUAGUCUUCCUAAGUCCUUUGUCUUGAAGGUGUUAUGCAAGUAAACCUUCAGUGCCUCUAUUUCUUACAAAUCUGUCCCUGUUACUAGGACAUCAUCUACAUAAACAGCCACAAAUACCGCUGAACCUUCAUGUAUUUUGUAAAAUAAAGAAUAGUCUAGCAAGGAGUGUGUGUAUCCCCUGGGGCAGAGUGCUUCAGACAUCCCCUUUAUACAGAAUUUCUAGGCCUAGGAAGUAAUGUAGUCUUCCUAAGUCCUUUAUCUUGAAGGUGUUGUGCAAAUAAGCCUUCAGUGCCUCUAUUUCUCCAAGUAUGUCCGUAUUACUAGAAUAUAAUCUACAUAAACAGCCACAAAAACCACUGAACCAUUAUGUUUUUUGUAAAACAAAGAAUAGUCUAGCAGGGAGUGUGUGUGGUUGAGCAAAGUGCUUCAGUUAAUUUCUCAUACCAUUGCCUACUGGCAUGUUUCAGGCCAUACAAAUAUUUAUUCAGUUUGCACACUAAAGAUGAGUUUUCUACAGCAAGUCCUAGAGGUACUUCCAUGUAUACCUCUUCGUGGAGAUCUCCAUGUAGGAAUGCAUUAUUCACAUCUAGCUGAAUAAUGUUCCAGCCUUUCUUCACUGCCACACCAAUUAGGGCCCUAACAGUGGUCAUUUUAACCACAGCUGAAAAGGUAUCUGUGUAGUCUACCCCAGCCUCCUGAGUGUACCCUUUUACUACUAAUCUUGCCUUUAAUCUCUCUAUACUCCCAUCUGCCCUGUGCUUCACCUUAUAUACCUACUUACACCCUAUUUCCCUCUUUCCUUCUGGAAGAGGUACAAGGCUCCAAGUGUGAUUAGCAUAAAGAGCCUCAAAUUCUUGGUUCAUUGCUUCUUGCCAAGCAGAAUCAACAACUGCUUCCUCAUAUGAGCUAGGUUCUGUUUGAUAAGUAAUAUUCUUAAUCAGUUGCUGACUAUCAGAAGAUAAAGUACUAUGAGACAUGCAUUGAGUGUUGGGUAUGAAUGCAUUGAAAGAGAGGGGUGUAGUGUCUUGGCUACUUUGGCUACCACUGGAUGGAGAAUUAGAGUAGUCUGUUUGUAACUUGGGCAGUGAAUAGUUAUAAUCUUUUAAGUAGGCAUGGACUUUGAGUGUUAUAGGUGGCCUUCUUGAGGUCUCAUCAUGGUUUUGCAAUGUUUAAAUAAAGAUGUUAUCAGGUGAGCCUAUAUUGUUAUACACCAAUGGAAAAGAUUCUUUAGAACUUGAAGUUACAUAGGAAACAAGUUCUGUUGCCCUUGGUGGUGAAGCUUUAGGUGACAUCCUUGGGAGAGAUGUGCUAGGAGAGGUAGGAUUGGAAGUAAUGCUAUGAGAAGGAAACAUGUCUUUUGCCAACUCUGCAUUCACUUGUCGGAAUGAAAGAAAAACCUUAUUGGAAUUAGAGUGCAAGGCAAGAGGAAAUAUUUCUUCAUGAAACACAACUUCUCUUGAACACAUGAAUUCUCUUUGUGACUAGAUUGAACACCUUGUAACCCUUUGUCCUAAAGGGGUCCACAAAGACGUAAGGCAAAUAUCUGGGCUCAAUUUUAUUUUUGUGGGAUGUUAGGUUUGUAGGAAUACAAAGGCAUCCAAACUUUUGGGAUGAGAAUACUUAGGUCUUUUGUUGUACAGUAAUUCAAGUGGACAUCUAUUUUCUAGAGUGGUAGAAGGAAGCCUAUUGAUAAGAUAUGCUGAUGUAAGGAUACACUGUCCCAGAUAUUGCAUGGGGAGUUUGGAUUGAUAAAAUAAAGCCCUGGCUGUUUCCAAAAGGUAUAUUUGCUUUCUUUCGACUAUGCCAUUUUGCUGAGGUGUGUAGGGGAAAGUUUUAUGGUGUACAACUCCCUCUGAUUGUAAGAGUAGAAUUGGUUUCAAAAUUUAUAAACUCAAGACCAUUAUCUGUUCUAAUGGUCUUAAUGGAACAGUCAAAUUGGUUUUUCACCAUGGCAAAAAAAGCUUUAAGAACUUGCAGAGCAUUGCUUUUACAGCUGAGAAGGUGUGUCCAAGUGCACCUACUGUAGUCAUCUACUAGGGUAAUAACAUACUUGUUCUUGUCGUGUUGGUACAUGAGAAGGCCCCCACAAAUCUACAUGUAGAAUUUCAAAGACCUUGGUUGUGACUGUGCUUCUUUCUGGGAAUGGCAAUUUUGUCUAGCCAUUGGGCAUAUUAGACAAGUGAAGGACUGUUUGGAUGAAAAUUAAAAAGGUAUGGACUCAAUUCCCCUCAUUUUGGAAAAGGGUACAUGUCACAAUCUAUUAUGCUACAAGAUAUCAUUCAUGUAAUUAUUAUUCAUAGAUGCAUUGCAUACAGGACUAACAUUUCAU